CAGUCGUACCGACGGAAAAUCAGCUCUUUGAGUGCGGACUUGUGGGCUUACGUGAGUUUAAACACCUCGCUGUUUGCAACGUUCGUGUUUUUUGGGUGUACUUUUUCGUAUGGUAGGCCAAUGUCAGUUUCGAUCGCUAUAAAAUGACCGGCGGAAUGUAGCUUCGAUCUCGUAUUGAAGUGUUAUAGCCUCUGGUAGAUGUGGUGAUCGGGACUGAGGAUUGCAACGAAUACCUUUUGGGCUAUCCGUCUGAUCUCUGAAGGUUGCUUAGGUGCCGAAAGCGUGCUUACGGUUAUUUAAGUUGACAGUCAAAAGGUUAGAACGGAUUAUA
rnacentral:rRNA from 1 species